UUGCACUUUGCAAUCAUAUAAGCUUCGCUAAAUUCUCAAAUUAGUGGUCUUACAGUGUUAGUGCGUAUAGGAAAAGCUGAAGUUAUCAGCGGCAGCCAGACAUCUGUUGAGAUGAAUCCACAGAUGCGUUCUGUUUAUGCUCCUGUCUACUAAUUUCAUCUCACAUUU
rnacentral:snoRNA from 1 species